CUGGCGGCGUGCCUAAUACAUGCAAGUCGAACGCACUCUCGUUUAGAUUGAAGGAGCUUGCUCCUGAUUGAUAAACAUUUGAGUGAGUGGCGGACGGGUGAGUAACACGUGGGUAACCUGCCCUAAAGUGGGGGAUAACAUUUGGAAACAGAUGCUAAUACCGCAUAAAACCUAACACCGCAUGGUGUAGGGUUGAAAGAUGGUUUCGGCUAUCACUUUAGGAUGGACCCGCGGUGCAUUAGUUAGUUGGUGAGGUAAAGGCUCACCAAGACCGUGAUGCAUAGCCGACCUGAGAGGUAAUCGGCCACACUGGGACUGAGACACGGCCCAGACUCCUACGGGAGGCAGCAGUAGGGAAUCUUCCACAAUGGACGAAAGUCUGAUGGAGCAACGCCGCGUGAGUGAAGAAGGUUUUCGGAUCGUAAAACUCUGUUGUUGGAGAAGAAUGUAUCUGAUAGUAACUGAUCAGGUAGUGACGGUAUCCAACCAGAAAGCCACGGCUAACUACGUG
rnacentral:rRNA from 1 species